rnacentral:tRNA from 1 species
CCAGAAGAUAGCUCAGUUGGGUAGAGCAGAAGGUAACCCCUUCGGGUCGCGGGUUCGAAUCCCGCUCUUUGAA